CCUGUAUCCAUUCUGCUUGGAAAAUCCUCACCCCAGCCUUAGGAGGAGGUGGGCAGGUCUCCAUGGCACUCAGGCUCUUUGCCACAUCCGUCCCCAGCUACUGACUUGCUGGCUACCAUGAGGCCUGUCCCAUCUGAUGUCACUGAGUGUGGAGCAGGAAAGAGACCAAACUGGGCCGACUCCAGCCACCACAGCAAACUCGUCCCACAGCCAAUCCUUGAAGGAGCCAGAAUUUGACCCAGGUGCGUCUCAUCCUGAGCCCAAGCUCAUAAGCACUUUGUCAUUUGGUCAAUAACUGCACAAGAUCGUUGCCAUUCAAGAGGGAUGCUGCUUAAGAUCUUUGUGAAGUGCCAGCUUUACAGUGUCCCAUAAAACUUCAAGCAUCCUGGGAUUUGUAGUUCUCAACCAGUUGAGAACUAUGUGAAAAACACCUUGAGCAGAAGUCUUGUGUUUGAAACUAAAGUACCCUCCAGCAACACUGUAAGAAGACAAAUUCCAC
rnacentral:lncRNA from 1 species